UAUUGCGCAAUGGGCGAAAGCCUGACGCAGCAACGCCGCGUGAGGGAUGAAGGUUCUCGGAUUGUAAACCUCUGUCGGGGGGGACAAAACCUAUGCUGGCUAAUAUCCAGCAUAAUUGAUGGUACCCCCAAAGGGAGCACCGGCUAACUCCGUGCCAGCAGCCGCGGUAAUACGGAGGGUGCAAGCGUUGUUCGGAAUUAUUGGGCGUAAAGCGCACGUAGGUGGCUUCAGAAGUCCGGUGUGAAAUCCCUCGGCUUAACCGAGGAAGUGCGCCGGAAACCAUGGAGCUAGAGUAUCGGAGGGGAGAGUGGAAUUCCCAGUGUAGAGGUGAAAUUCGUAGAUAUUGGGAGGAACACCGGUGGCGAAAGCGACUCUCUGGACGAUUACUGACACUAAGUGCGAAA
rnacentral:rRNA from 1 species